GGGUAGGAAGAGGUCAGGAACCAAGAAGGAAGUGGACGGACCGUGGAGCCCCCGGCCCCCGGCCCUGGAGUUCCCUGGACGUCUCCACACCCCAAAGAGGAGAAAUGAGAGGCUGCUGCCCACGCGAUGGCAAUUUCUCUUCUGCAUUUUCUUGUCAACCGUGGGGGCUAAACGACAUCUGGAGAGACUUCUGCUGAGCCAGACGACGGGACCAGAAGGUGCUCGGUCCAGUGGAGAUGUUGAAAGGGGUGGACCUGCCUUGGCCACUGGGCCCUGUCUGUGCCGGUUUUGAUCUGCAGAGCCUGCCCCGGGGACAAAGCACGGGAGCUGGGCUGCCCCUCGUCUCAGGAAGCCCUCCCUUCCCUGCCUCCCUGAACCCCUUUCUUCUCCUUCCCGCUGUCCUAUCUCUGUAAGAAAUGCAGACAAGAGAAAAUGCCUAUCUGUGUCUCCAGGUGACAGCCAGAGUGAAUGCACAAGCAUUUGUCACCAAGUGUGUCCACAGACGGCCGUAGACUCCACCAUCGGAAGGGUAGACUCCAUGCUGGAGGCCACCCCACCUUCCAAUCCAAACGCAGCCUUGGGGCAGGGUCCCCGAGCCUCCAGUUUGUGAUGCAAAGCUUUGGUUGUUUUUCUUUUUUUUUUUUUUUUUUAAAGACUCAAGCCCUACGGAAGCAUUUCCGUUCAAGACGAAAUUGUUUAAUUGGACAGAGGAAAGAGUCUCGGGGGAUUCAGAGGGAAGGAGGCUGAACUCUGUGCAUUUUCUUUAUCCGCUCUUAUCUUAAACCCUGUGUCAGAGAGGGUAAACAGACGCUUCUAUUUCUGUGCAUCUGAGUUGGCAACACCAACGUGUUGUGCACAUAAAGGUACAUAUUGGCUUUUUAUGAGACGCUGGGUUAAACACCCUUCAUCUUUCUGGAUGCGCUCCUGUACGCGACAGAUUCGGAAAUCCUAAAAGCAAAUCUUAGCAGAGCAAACACAUUUUCCCUGUAGAAGUGCAGUCACAGAAGAGAUUACAUUCCCCUGGGACUGGCCCCCUACAUUCAGCGGUAAUAUUAGAGCAUCAUUCUAACACACAUGUAUACAUGUAUAAUUUCCAAAUCCACUCACACCAGCUCCAUUUUGAUCGUGGGAAUGCCUUGCCAACGGCAGGGGGAGAAAUUACAAGUGGAUCUGGUCUUUGUCCCUGGUGAAGGCUGGUGCGGCUAAACAUCCAGUUUGGUGACUGACUCACAUACCUUCUCAUCGCUGCUUAGAAACGGUGACGGCAAAAGCCCAGAGACAUCCCUCACCUGUUUGAGGGGCUCCGGCUCCGAAGCAUACUUAGUGUUUACCCUUGAAAAGGUCAGGGCCUUAGAAAAAGAGGGAAAUCUAAUAACCAUGCAUAGUUUUGUUUUGUUUUGUUUUUUUCAGGUGAUCAGUCCACCGGUUCGAUAGCAACAACAGCCUGCUUCGUCCCAGAGUGGGCAUGCAGUUUCGAGCUAACUGGUCGUGGCUAGAAUAGCACUAAGAUGCAGAUUUGAGGGCACCCAGCUAGACUCUGGAAUUGGGUUUGGAUUUGACAGUAACCAACAUAUGAAAUCUGGGGCACUGACCCUUCAUUUCCUCAUUUAUAAACUGGGGAUGAUACUAGUACAACCUAAGGCACAGCCGUCUUGUGAAAAUUGAAUAAAACAUGGAGCACGAUGCCUGGGACGCACUUGGUGAAUGUUAGCUGCUGUCAUUUUUAUUCUUUUUCAUGAGAGGGAUUAUUUACUGGAUUGGGAGUGAACACCGAAAGUGGCAAUCCGAUUGGAAAAAAAUUGGACACAUUUUACCCCAGAAUAACUUGUGCAUAGUCAUGAAACAAAAUACAGUCAGAUUCGUUGGUGGGGUCUUGCGUUCCCAUCCCUGCCUGCUGGGGGUCUGGCCAAGGUCCUGGCUGGGAUCCGAGGAGUCUUCUUUCGUAUCAUGUCCUUGCCUCUUUUUCUCAGCCUCUCUGUGAGUGAGACCAGAGGGCGUCACAACAGCCCACGCCGGCCUGACACCGUCCCGACUCCAGGACCGACUCUGCGCUCUGGAACAUGCUUCUCCUCUUCUGUGGCUGAGGAAAGAUCAUGGCAGGUCUCCCUGAAAACACCCCCCAGAAAUGCCUGCCAACAUUCAGAGAUGAGGUGGCAAAAGGUGAGACCUUCCAAGACAGAAGACAAAGAGGCAGCCAUGCCUGAGCAAAUGAUUUCCCAUGGUUGCUUCCCUCCCUGGCUACACGGGCCCCUUGGCUAAGAGGUGCACAAUCCGGGCCAGAGCGAACAUACUCAGCACGGCGGGUCCAGCUGCUAGACAAGCUGAUUCUCAAGGUCACAGGAAGAAUCUUGACAGCAUCCUUCUGCGCCCUAGACCACACAGGGCUAAGAGCUGAUGCGCUGCUCUCACCUGCCCGGGUGGAUUCCAGAAUCCCCUCAUGCGUCCGCAGCAACAGGAGGGGAGAAACCAGGGGACUCUGCCCAAGAGCUCGAUGAGACGAGUACAUCCGAUGACAGACGCUUACAUGGUGGCUCCCGGGAAGGUCAUUGCCACUGCACGUCUAGCAAAAGCUAGAGCGUAGUUCCCUGUGCUGUGCAGUAGGUCCGUGUUGAUUAUCUCUUUUCCAUGUCGUCACGUGUAUAUACGUGAAUCUCAAACUCCUAAUUUACACCCCCUCGUCCCCUCUUUGGUAACCAUAUGUUUGUUUUCUAAGCCGAUGAGUUUCUGUUUCGUAAAAAAAAAAAAAAA
rnacentral:lncRNA from 1 species